rnacentral:rRNA from 1 species
AGGCCUAACACAUGCAAGUCGAGGGGCAGCGGGGAGGUAGCAAUACCUUUGCCGGCGACCGGUGCACGGGUGAGUAACACGUAUGCAAUCCACCUGUAACAGGGGGAUAACCCGGAGAAAUCCGGACUAAUACCCCAUAAUAUGGGCUCUCCGCAUGGAGGGUCCAUUAAAGAGAGCAAUUUUGGUUACAGGCGAGCAUGCGCUCCAUUAGCCAGUUGGCGGGGUAACGGCCCACCAAAGCGACGAUGGAUAGGGGUUCUGAGAGGAAGGUCCCCCACAUUGGAACUGAGACACGGUCCAAACUCCUACGGGAGGCAGCAGUGAGGAAUAUUGGUCAAUGGUCGGCAGACUGAACCAGCCAAGUCGCGUGAGGGAAGACGGCCCUACGGGUUGUAAACCUCUUUUGUCGGAGAGUAAAGUACGCUACGUGUAGCGUAUUGCAAGUAUCCGAAGAAAAAGCAUCGGCUAACUCCGUGCCAGCAGCCGCGGUAAUACGGAGGAUGCAAGCGUUAUCCGGAUUUAUUGGGUUUAAAGGGUGCGUAGGCGGCACGCCAAGUCAGCGGUGAAAUUUCCGGGCUCAACCCGGACUGUGCCGUUGAAACUGGCGAGCUAGAGUGCACAAGAGGCAGGCGGAAUGCGUGGUGUAGCGGUGAAAUGCAUAGAUAUCACGCAGAACCCCGAUUGCGAAGGCAGC